rnacentral:rRNA from 1 species
GAAACCGUGUACGUACAAGCAGUGGGAGCACAGAGCAAUCUGUGUGACUGCGUACCUUUUGUAUAAUGGGUCAGCGACUUAUAUUCUGUAGCAAGGUUAACCGAAUAGGGGAGCCGAAGGGAAACCGAGUCUUAACUGGGCGUUAAGUUGCAGGGUAUAGACCCGAAACCCGGUGAUCUAGCCAUGGGCAGGUUGAAGGUUGGGUAACACUAACUGGAGGACCGAACCGACUAAUGUUGAAAAAUUAGCGGAUGACUUGUGGCUGGGGGUGAAAGGCCAAUCAAACCGGGAGAUAGCUGGUUCUCCCCGAAAGCUAUUUAGGUAGCGCCUCGUGAAUUCAUCUCCGGGGGUAGAGCACUGUUUCGGCAAGGGGGUCAUCCCGACUUACCAACCCGAUGCAAACUGCGAAUACCGGAGAAUGUUAUCACGGGAGACACACGGCGGGUGCUAACGUCCGUCGUGAAGAGGGAAACAACCCAGACCGCCAGCUAAGGUCCCAAAGUCAUGGUUAAGUGGGAAACGAUGUGGGAAGGCCCAGACAGCCAGGAUGUUGGCUUAGAAGCAGCCAUCAUUUAAAGAAAGCGUAAUAGCUCACUGGUCGAGUCGGCCUGCGCGGAAGAUGUAACGGGGCUAAACCAUGCACCGAAGCUGCGGCAGCGACACUGUGUGUUGUUGGGUAGGGGAGCGUUCUGUAAGCCUGUGAAGGUGUGCUGUGAGGCAUGCUGGAGGUAUCAGAAGUGCGAAUGCUGACAUAAGUAACGAUAAAGCGGGUGAAAAGCCCGCUCGCCGGAAGACCAAGGGUUCCUGUCCAACGUUAAUCGGGGCAGGGUGAGUCGACCCCUAAGGCGAGGCCGAAAGGCGUAGUCGAUGGGAAACAGGUUAAUAUUCCUGUACUUGGUGUUACUGCGAAGGGGGGACGGAGAAGGCUAUGUUGGCCGGGCGACGGUUGUCCCGGUUUAAGCGUGUAGGCUGGUUUUCCAGGCAAAUCCGGAAAAUCAAGGCUGAGGCGUGAUGACGAGGCACUACGGUGCUGAAGCAACAAAUGCCCUGCUUCCAGGAAAAGCCUCUAAGCAUCAGGUAACAUCAAAUCGUACCCCAAACCGACACAGGUGGUCAGGUAGAGAAUACCAAGGCGCUUGAGAGAACUCGGGUGAAGGAACUAGGCAAAAUGGUGCCGUAACUUCGGGAGAAGGCACGCUGAUAUGUAGGUGAAGUCCCUCGCGGAUGGAGCUGAAAUCAGUCGAAGAUACCAGCUGGCUGCAACUGUUUAUUAAAAACACAGCACUGUGCAAACACGAAAGUGGACGUAUACGGUGUGACGCCUGCCCGGUGCCGGAAGGUUAAUUGAUGGGGUCAGCGCAAGCGAAGCUCUUGAUCGAAGCCCCGGUAAACGGCGGCCGUAACUAUAACGGUCCUAAGGUAGCGAAAUUCCUUGUCGGGUAAGUUCCGACCUGCACGAAUGGCGUAAUGAUGGCCAGGCUGUCUCCACCCGAGACUCAGUGAAAUUGAACUCGCUGUGAAGAUGCAGUGUACCCGCGGCAAGACGGAAAGACCCCGUGAACCUUUACUAUAGCUUGACACUGAACAUUGAGCCUUGAUGUGUAGGAUAGGUGGGAGGCUUUGAAGUGUGGACGCCAGUCUGCAUGGAGCCGACCUUGAAAUACCACCCUUUAAUGUUUGAUGUUCUAACGUGGACCCGUGAUCCGGGUUGCGGACAGUGUCUGGUGGGUAGUUUGACUGGGGCGGUCUCCUCCUAAAGAGUAACGGAGGAGCACGAAGGUUGGCUAAUCCUGGUCGGACAUCAGGAGGUUAGUGCAAUGGCAUAAGCCAGCUUGACUGCGAGCGUGACGGCGCGAGCAGGUGCGAAAGCAGGUCAUAGUGAUCCGGUGGUUCUGAAUGGAAGGGCCAUCGCUCAACGGAUAAAAGGUACUCCGGGGAUAACAGGCUGAUACCGCCCAAGAGUUCAUAUCGACGGCGGUGUUUGGCACCUCGAUGUCGGCUCAUCACAUCCUGGGGCUGAAGUAGGUCCCAAGGGUAUGGCUGUUCGCCAUUUAAAGUGGUACGCGAGCUGGGUUUAGAACGUCGUGAGACAGUUCGGUCCCUAUCUGCCGUGGGCGCUGGAGAACUGAGGGGGGCUGCUCCUAGUACGAGAGGACCGGAGUGGACGCAUCACUGGUGUUCGGGUUGUCAUGCCAAUGGCACUGCCCGGUAGCUAAAUGCGGAAGAGAUAAGUGCUGAAAGCAUCUAAGCACGAAACUUGCCCCGAGAUGAGUUCUCCCUGACCCUUUAAGGGUCCUGAAGGAACGUUGAAGACGACGACGUUGAUAGGCCGGGUGUGUAAGCGCAGCGAUGCGUUGAGCUAACCGGUACUAAUGAACCGUGAGGCUUAACCUUACAACGCCGAAGGUGUUU